CAGCCACCACUGCUGUCAUGUGAUGAGUCGGCCUCUGUCUGUGUCAGCCAUGGUUGAAAGAAAGCUCAGAUUCACUCACAGAUACAUCACUAUGCAAAGAGUCAAAGCUCUCCCCUUGAUUCUUUGCAGAGAAGAGGAAUAUACAUUUCUGGGAUUGGGAACCAUUUGUACAGAGAAACUUUCUUCACCUUUAAGAAAAACGCAGGAUUUAAGUGUUGCCUGGUGCAAAGGUGAGUUGAAAGAAUUCUGCAAAGCCCCAGAAUGUAUUUUAAGCCCAAUAAUUAGAGACAAGGGCCACAAUUCAAAUUUAAGAUCAGUAUGUACUGUAGUUUAGGGAGCCUACUGUAUAUCACAGCAUUACACUCUCAUGCAUGUAGGGCGAGUCUUACAAGCUUUUAAGUAGGUUAAGCAGCCUUUACUCACCAGAUUGGAUUCCUGUUCUGACGGAUUAGUCAUUUCUGGUUCUGAAUGAACUCACAGAAAAAUGACUGAUGAUAGUCUGAGAAGACAGAAAAGAAAUGCCAUAUUUCAUAAUUUCACAAGCAUGUUAUAUCUGUACACAAGUGUUUCUGUUGGGAAUCUUUAAAACAUAUGUGUAAGCAGAGAAAUCAAUAAGGUGAGGGGACAAAUAAAAAUCAGCCCAAAAUCCA
ensembl:lncRNA